CUCUGGCUCUGGCUUAGCUCUCCAGCCGACCACAUUUGUCCUCCAUCUGCCGCUCCUUUGUCUUAGUUCUUCUUCAUUCAGAACAAGGAGGGGUAAAGGGGAUGCUAUCUUUUUGGCUUCCUUCAAACCCCACCUCCAAUAGUCAGAACAAAGGGUGUUGUCAGAAACACAUGCAGACACCAGAGUAACGAGAUGGGUCAUCCCUGCAAACAUUGAAACCAACAAGCUAUGUUUGAUCAAUUUCAGUUAAAAACAAGCCUAAAAAGAUUGAUUUCUUUUAUCUUUUAUUCAUUUAAUAGAAAAUAAAAAACAACUCAAAGUAAAAAUUCUUACUCUCAAAAGCACAUGAUGAAAUGCUGAAAAAUACAUACAAAAUGUAUAGACAGGGUUAAUAUGAUUUGUAAUGAUCUUGCAAUUUCAGCUUUAGGACAUUUACUCAAAUCUCUGAAGUUUCAUUCAACUCAUCUGUUAUCCACUGAUUUGAAUUCAUAACAAAGUGAUAAAUGUUUAGUUAGAAUAUUUUAACAGACCAUAGGGAAUUCAUUCAAUUUCUCUAAAUUUCAGUUUAUGCGUCCAUAAAAUGGGUGUACAAAUAUAUUUAUCUAAAGUUGGGACAAAAAUAAAAUGGGAGUACAUCAUAGUGACUUAUAUAUAAUAAAAUAAUACGCCA